rnacentral:tRNA from 1 species
UGUUAUAUGGCAAAGUUGGUAAACGCGUCCUGUCUAGCAAACUUGGCGUGGGUUCGAAUCUCACCAGAACAA